UUGUGUCUCUUAAGAAGCCACCCUUGAAGCUCCAGGUUUUACCUUGAGCAAACCCAUGUUAUGUGAUGUGAUGUGGCAAAGACACACCCUGAAAGAGACAGGUAGGAAUUUGGCUUUGGAGCUAUUUCCACUGGAAAACAAAAGGGUUUCUGUGAUGGUCCAGAGCAAGUGCCAGUUAAAGGGUAUGAACUAUGAACUCUUUUUGUACUGUGGGAAAUGCAGACUAUUACUAGGAAGGUUCAUACAAGCCAUCAGUCGCUUUUUCUACCCUUCUUCAUUAGGCAGGCUGAGUGCAAUGUGAUGUAGUCCAGCAAUCUGAGAAAACAGGGCAAAUAAGUAACUCUUGUUUGUCUGUUUCUCCCUUGGUAAUGCACUUUCAAAGUGACAUCUACGGGUGCAGCAAUGCAUCCGUUAUGGGACCUAAAAUAACAGAGCAGAAGGAAACUGUGGCAGGGCUCUGGCAGGAAUCCUCCGGGCUUUAUGGCUAGUGUGAUUGCUGCUGCAACAUGUGCUGCCUUACAAAGGAGGCGUGAUAGCUUCAUCACACCACUGAUCCUGAGCUAGAAGAGGACAUAAAGAGGCAGCUAUUGACUGGCUCAGGUCUUCCCUGCUCUGAGCCUUGGCGUCAGAAGCUGCUGCCGCUGCGAUUUCAGCAUCGGUAUCCAUAGCACGAGCCCUGGAGCAGAUUGGGUUCAAGAGUUUUUGCUGGGUUGUGCUGGAGCGGGGAUAAAUUAUGAUGUCAAAACAGAGAGAUGUUGUCACACAACCAUCUCCCCUUGCAGGGUCAAGGUUCUGCUUUAUAGCUUGGAAACCCAUUAGUCCAUUUGAAAGCAUAUGGCCAAGAAUGGACAAAAAAUAGUCUUGUGUGUUUGGGUCAGAGCUACAGACAAAAGGCUCUUUGUGCUAAGAGCUGACAAUGACAAAUAAAGAGGAACCUGUUGAUCUAGGAGAGAAAUGGAGGAUUAUGAAAAGAUCACAUGGAUUUCAGGUGAUUAACUCCCCCUCUGUAAAGUUUAACACCACAUGCAGCCAAGAUGCCGUCAAUCUUCCUUUUCUAAGUAAAAGAAAAAAGUACUGUAGUUUUAGCUCGGGAAUGGAGGUGACUGACAACAAGAAGACUGUUUUGGAGGUGCUCUUACCUGCUCUGGUUACACCCCAGUUGCAUUACUUGAUGAGCAUGUCCUUUUGAAACGAAGACAGAAUCGUGACAGAUCUGAGUGGUGCCAUCACUGACAGAGCUGCAGCAGAGCUGGAGCAACUGAAAGCCCCUUUGAAAAUGACUGUGUGUUGACAAAGUCUUUUCUUGGCAAAGAAACCAUCAUCUAAGCCUCCGGAGUAGAGAGGAACAAAAUUUCAUUACAUGUAAAUAAUUGUCUAAAAAUAGAAGCACAGAUUGCUUUUCACAUUAAGUUCCUUCUUCACGGUAAAGUAUAUACUGCAUUAAAAAAGAAGUGACUAGCAGCAGUCCAAGCUGAAAAAUAAAGGGCCUGUUGUUAGCUCUAUUUGUAAAAACA